rnacentral:rRNA from 1 species
GGCUCAGAUUGAACGCUGGCGGCAUGCUUUACACAUGCAAGUCGAACGGCAGCACGAAAGAGCUUGCUCUUUUGGUGGCGAGUGGCGAACGGGUGAGUAAUACAUUGGAACGUACCGAGUAAUGGGGGAUAACUGUCCGAAAGGAUGGCUAAUACCGCAUACGCUCUGAGGAGGAAAGCGGGGGACCUUCGGGCCUCGCGUUAUUCGAGCGGCCAAUGUCUGAUUAGCUAGUUGGUGGGGUAAAGGCCUACCAAGGCGACGAUCAGUAGUGGGUCUGAGAGGAUGAUCCGCCACACUGGGACUGAGACACGGCCCAGACUCCUACGGGAGGCAGCAGUGGGGAAUUUUGGACAAUGGGCGAAAGCCUGAUCCAGCCAUGCCGCGUGUCUGAAGAAGGCCUUCGGGUUGUAAAGGACUUUUGUCAGGGAAGAAAGGGUUUGGGUUAAUACCCUGAGCUUAUGACGGUAC